UUUAUAAACUAGUUUGUAUGCUACGUUUGAUAAUUUAUAAACUAGUUGUAUGCUAGGUUUGAUAAUUUAUAAACUAGUUGUAUGCUAGGUUUGAUAAUUUAUAAACUAGUUGUAUGCUAGGUUUGAUAAUUUAUAAACUAGUUGUAUGCUAGGUUUGAUAAUUUAUAAACUAGUUGUAUGCUACAUUUGAUAAUUUAUAAACUAGUUGUAUGCUACGUUUGAUAAUUUAUAAACUAGUAUGGAAGAUUUGAAUUUAUACAGUUUAACACUUGUAAUGAAUGUUGAAUUUAUAAAUUAGUAUGCAGGGUUUGAAAUUUAUACAGUUUAGCACUUAGUUUUCACUGUUGAAUUUAUUGACUAGUUUAUGCUAGAUAUAUGUGCCAAUUUAUGUAUUAUAAUUUAACUAUUGUAAUUAUCGUGAGUAUUUUGCUACAAGAACAAAUUUUACAAAAAUAUAAGAAUGGUUUGUGACUCGUUUAUAUUCUGUAGAUUUUGUAAUGUUAAUAAGGUAAUCUAUUUUUAAUUGACUAAUUAAAAGCACACAAGCAUUGCUAUAUAGAUUUGGAAUAAUUUGUUCAUGUAGAAGAUAUAUAUCUAUUAUUACAUGUUCAUAAUUCAGCAGGUUUAUUGCAUAACAAAAAUUGCUAAUUUACCAGGUAUUUUGUGCAACAGUACAUUAAUAAUUUAGCAGAUUAUUGCCCAACAUGAUUAUAAUAGUGAUUUAAAAAGGAAUGAGUAUACACUAGGACAUAUUUGAAAACAUUUUUAGUCCUGAGACCUUGAUCAUUUCUGAGAAGUAAUCAAGGUUCCAGGGCUGAAAAGUUCUCAUAUAUCCCAUUGUUUGCUCACAUAUAUUUAAACUCCUUUGUGUCUAAUACCAAGGUUUACACUGGAAUUUUAUAAUUAAGCUGAUAUAGUUCUCUUAACAAAUUUUCUUACUCAAAAUUAAUGUUCUGAUUGCAGUUAUGAUUUUUUAAAGCUAUUUAAAAACUUUUGUUUAUUUAAACUAACAAUAUAUAAGGCUGUGAAAGUUUGAAGUAUCUACUCACUGAUGUAAUUUAUAGUAUCUAG